rnacentral:lncRNA from 12 species
GCAACGUCGUCGGCACGGUCACCAGCAGCGACUGCCGUCUAAGAACCAAGUCCAAGAGAAGAAGGAAGAGAAGGCUGGCUGUGAGACCUGAGGAAUGAGUCCAGGAGGAAAGACAGAGAAAUCCAUCCAGAAGCACAGAAUCCGGAGACUCGGGGCCUCCCUGGUCACGUCCGACCGCACGCAUUGCUGCUGUUCGGGGGGACCCCUGGCGCCCACGAAUGGGGACACCAGUGGAGGCGUGAAGAAGUCCCCGGCAUCUUCCCCUAGUUCAGACACUCAAGGAUUCCUGCAUUUGGUGACCCGGCCCCCCCUCAGCUCCCUAGGAGCCAGGGUCUCUUGGAUCCCCUCUGGAAAAACCGCUGCCUCCAUCGCCCGGGGCGGGGGUGGUGCACAGUCCCAGUUGGACGCCCACCUGGGGAUGGGGCCAGCCAGGCAGCCAGCAGGAGCCGAGAGAUCAAGCGAGAGGAGACCUGCUGAAAUACUAGUUGAGGCCUUCUUCUCGUUGGUAAAAUCAGACCAGGCUUCGGAGCUCGGGAGGCGAAGUCCCAAAGCUCCCCUCUGAGAACAGUUCUGUUCAGGACCUCGGGUUCCAAGUGUCUCGGCUUCAAUGGCAAGAACAAAGCAAGAAGGGCAGGAGUUGGGGUAGAUUUGUCUGGAUUCACAAAGCCUCAUUUGAGGAUCCAGUGCCAAACCCCGAGGACUCCGAGCCUCGAGCGGGGGUGGCAAGCCUUCUCCAGAAAGGGCCAGAUAGUCCUUGUCUCCACUCCUCAGCCCUGCCCUUGGGGGGCAAACAGGUGUGGUUGUGGCCCAAUGCAACUUCAUUUACAAAAUAAACUGUCACCAGAUUUGCCA